GGAGGCCAGGACGCUGCCUCGGAGAGCACCUGCUCAGGAAAGCUGUCACCACGAUGCGGCCUGCACCACCCGCGCUGCAGGGAGUCGGGAGGGCCAGCCAACGGCCCCUCUCUCGCCCCUUCUCCAGUUCACCACCUCGCUCAGCCUUUGCCGCCAGCUGAGUGCCUGAGCCCUGCCCGUUCCUCUCCGACUCUGCAGGCAGGAGAAUGCCCGGAAAGCCCCGGCCAACGGAAGCAGGCUUUGCUCACGUGCAGCGUGGACCUCCGCGCAGGCCGCCUUGCCUCACUUUCCGCGUGCAGAGGCCGUUGUCCACGGGAGCCGCCAAGUGUGUGUGUGUGACGCGUGAGCGCUGCUGCCCUGGGCCGGGUGCCGGCACAGACGGAGGACGUCCAUGGAAACGCUUGCGUAACUGACACAAGGUCUGUAGCUGGGCGCACCGGGAUACUCAGCAGCGCUGUCCCUCACGCGCCCCCACAGCCAAAGGCAAGGGGCAGGUGCAGCGAGAGAGACAGACAUGCCGGAGGCCCCGCACUCUCAGGCAUCACUGAAAACCCCCGCUAUAAAAAGGAACGAAGUCCUGCCACGUGCGACAAGAGGGCUGAACUAAAAACGAAGUCACAAAGGACCACAUGUUGAUGAUGCCAUUUAUAUCACAUGUUGCAUGACGCCAUUUAUAUCACACGUCCAGAAGCGGCAGCUCCACAGACAGAAGGCGGAUGAGUGGCUGUCAGAGGCUGUGGGUGAAGGGGAACAAAGCGGCCGCUAAUGGGGACAGAAUCUGUUUUCGGGGUGAGACAAACACUCUAAAAUUAGAUCCUGCUGAUGGUCACAGCAGCUCAGCAUAGUUACUAAAGAUCACUAAAUUAAACAUUUGAAACAGGUGCGUUUUAUAUGUAAAAUUAUAUAUAAACAUUACUUUGUGUCUAAUACCUUUACAAGCUGUUAAAAGAACUUUUUAAGAAACACAGAACAAAGAGUGACGAAGGCUGUUCAAGUAGCAGAAGGAGGGCGAUUGGGUCAGGGCACAGCUCAGGAGACGGAAGCCUCGGGAGGGGUUCUCCGUGGAACCGGCAACCAGCUGGCAGAAGGCCAGGACGCAGGCCAGCACCUUCCAGGUCCCCGGUGCCUCCGUCCGGGGAACGGAGAACGCGUGAGAAGAGACAGAGGACGCCAGGAAGACCACAGCAGCACAAGGUGCCGAGCACAGGCCGCCCUCCGCCGGGACACGGGCUGGGGGCUCGGGGGGGGGUCUCGGGGGGCGGUCCCCACACGCAGACCCCAGGAGCGACGGGACAUCUGGUCAAGUGCGUGCCCGGUGGCCCUCGCGCUGCUGUGUUUGCAGGAUUUCUGAGUCAUUCGCGCCCUUUCCAAAAGCCAGGCUGGAAAAUGUGAGCGAGGGAAAAAAAAAAAAGACCCCGAAACAAACAAACACAAAAAAGAGGGCUGGAGCCGGCCCCGGGGCCGACCCGGCGGCCCACGCGUCUCCCAGCCCGCCAGCACCUGCGGCAGCCAGGGCACAACUGGUCCCCAUCCAUCCCGACGGGCUCUGGGCAGGUCCUCACGGAGUCGCAAGCAGUAACUGGUUCUGAUUUGGAAAAACAAACCCCAGCCGGUGACGCGGAGGCAAAGAGGUGCUGACCCCCACAGGGAUCACCAGGCACCCGCGGCGGGGUGGACGACCUCAUCCACAGAGCGAAGUGGGCCAGGGUCGGCUCGCCUCACGGGGGCGUCUUGAGCCUGCACCCAGCGUGCGGGGAGUUCCCGGCCAGGAUCCCCGCGGCGGACCAAGGAGGAAGCAGAGGCCGCUGCCCCCCAGCCCCGGGCCCCACAGGCAGCUGGAGGCCAAGUCU
ensembl:lncRNA